UUUCGCAAUGCCCGAAAGGGUGACGAAGCGACGCCGCGUGUGGGAAGAAGGCCUUCGGGUUGUAAACCACUGUCGGGAGUUAGGAAAUGCAGGUGCGUUAAUAGCGCACUUGCUUGACUAAGGCUCCAGAGGAAGCCACGGCUAACUCUGUGCCAGCAGCCGCGGUAAUACAGAGGCGGCAAGCGUUGUUCGGAAUUAUUGGGCGUAAAGAGCACGUAGGCGGCCUUGCAAGUCAGUUGUGAAAGCCUUCCGCUUAACGGAAGAACGGCAUCUGAUACUACAGGGCUUGAGUACGGGAGGGGAGAGUGGAACUUCUGGUGGAGCGGUGAAAUGCGUAGAUAUCAGAAGGAACGCCGGCGGCGAAAGCGACUCUCUGGUCCGAAACUGACGCUGAGUGUGCGAAAGCUAGGGGAGCAAACGGGACUAGAUACCCCGGUAGUCCUAGCCGUAAACGAUGGGCACUAAGUAGAGGGGUUUU
rnacentral:rRNA from 1 species